rnacentral:rRNA from 8 species
UGUGACCUCAAAUCAGG